AUUGAACGCUGGCGGCAUGCCUUACACAUGCAAGUCGAGCGAGCGGCGGACGGGUGAGUAAUGUAUGGGAACCUGCCCGAUAGCGGGGGAUAACUACUGGAAACGGUGGCUAAUACCGCAUACUAUUGGAUCAACCCAUAUGGGAUUAGCUAGUUGGUGGGGUAAAGGCUCACCUAGGCGACGAUCACUAGCUGGUCUGAGAGGAUGACCAGCCACACUGGGACUGAGACACGGCCCAGACUCCUACGGGAGGCAGCAGUGGGGAAUAUUGCACAAUGGGCGCAAGCCUGAUGCAGCCAUGCCGCGUGUAUGAAGAAGGCCUUAGGGUUGUAAAGUACUUUCAGCGGGGAGGCGUUACCCGCAGAAGAAGCACCGGCUAACUCCGUGCCAGCAGCCGCGGUAAUAC
rnacentral:rRNA from 1 species